rnacentral:rRNA from 1 species
UACGAAGGGGGCUAGCGUUGCUCGGAAUUACUGGGCGUAAAGGGCGCGUAGGCGGGUCGUCAAGUUGGGGGUGAAAGCCCAGGGCUCAACCUUGGAACUGCCUUCAAAACUGACGAUCUAGAGUAUGGAAGAGGUAAGUGGAACUCCGAGUGUAGAGGUGAAAUUCGUAGAUAUUCGGAAGAACACCAGUGGCGAAGGCGACUUACUGGUCCAUGACUGACGCUGAGGCUCGAAAGCGUGGGGAGCAAACAGG